AUGGGCCCGAGAGCUUGGCAGCCCUUGGCUCCGCUCCCGACCCCGCUCCCUCGAUGCCUCCGGCUUAAUUCGGCGACGGGAAGGAGGGUUUCAUCCACGCGGCGGACGGAGGCGGGUGGGAGCCGGCCGGCCGGAGAACGGACUCACGUGACAGGCGGCACCGGGGCCGGAGAUGCCCACCAGCGAGGUGCUUCUCCGGGGAAAGAUGGGCCUGACAUCCCGGGAAGGGAAAUCCAGCCGCAAUGGAAGCGGAACGGCAACGAGCCGCUGUCUGGGCUGAGCGCAGGCCGGGGAAAUUAUCUCCUUGCCAUCACCGCAAUUAAAGGCUGUUUUAGGAGCAGCUGGAGCGUCGGGAAACCCGAACUCCGCCGUGCCUCUCGGAGGAGACGGACGGACGGACGGCGGCGUUCGCCUAUCCGCCACGCUCCGUGCAGGGACACGAAGCUCAGCUGGCGGAAAUUAAAAAUACGCCCAGCUGGCAAAGUCAGGACGGAGAGGGCCCGGCCUGCGCUCAUCCGCCUUAGCGCUUCCGUGCUUCGGGAAGAUGCCCCGUGCAUCGCCGCGGCGGGGGCCGUCCGGCUUCCUCCCUUCGUCGGGAUCAGCCCGGCGGCGGGACGCGGCGGACGCCGAGGGCCCCGCGAGGCGCCGGGAGGCCUUUCCGGAGACGUUUUUGCAAGAGGAGCGGCCGAAGCGCCAACGGCAUCUGGAAGCGAUUCGAAGCCGAGAGCCUCUCCCGGGCGCGGAAGGGAAUUCCAUCGGCGUGAGCUCAGGUUAAAGCCUCCCUUCGGAGAAGCAGCAAAGAAAAAAGGGGGGGGGCGCGCGCGCGGUUUUAAAGCCACGAACCGUAACGCAGCGCCGCGAGGCGAAGCCGACAGCCCCUCGCGCCCCUUCCCGAGGGAGGCGCCGGGCGGCCGAGGGGAGCCGCGGAGCCGCCCCGACACGCGCGCGCCUCAAGGAGAAAAGGGAAGGGAAGGGAAGGAAAACCUGCUUGCCUUCACGCCCACAUCCCCUUUACAUAAAUAG
rnacentral:lncRNA from 1 species